CACACGUCUACGUGUAGAAGAAAAAAGGCAAUACACAGGUACACAGACAUUAAUAAACAUAUCAGAAUGUAGACACAUAUAUACAUACAUACAUUUCUGCAGGUGUAUGGAGACAUAUGUUACCUGUCACAUAAACAUGUACAUGUGCUUUCGGGGAGGAGUGUGGGCAGAGGGGAUACUAGUGAACCUAGCAGGGCCCCUGUGAGGGACAGCCUCCAGGCCCUGCUGCUGCUCCCCGCGCCACUCUCUAUAUAAAAGCUGGGAGGAAAUGACCAUCUGUCACUUCCUCCCAGCACCUCCCAUGUAAAAGGGGCCCGGUCAUGGUCUUAGAGAGUCGCGGCACCUGACCACGCCCCUGUUCACUAAUAAUACAAAUGGGGUGGCCCUAAAUGCAUGGGCAACCCGAUCGGCCCCAUCCAGCGUGCGGACCCCGGUGCAGCCACAUCGACUGCACCGGUGGACUUUCCACCAC